AUGGGGUGGGCCCUAGCCCUGCUUCUAGCUUUGCUGCCUCCUGCCAGUCAGAUCUCUUCCAACUUGGAAGUGACAAUGAAGUCAGUCACUGGGACAACGGGGUCAUCUGCUGUAAUCACCUGUGAUCUUCCUGGAGAAAAUACCAGAUACAUCCACUGGUACCUCCACCAGGAGGGGGAGGCCCCACAGCGUCUUCUGCACUGUGACACCUACAACUCCAGGGUUAUGUGGGAUUCAGGAAUCAGUCCAGGGAAGAUGGAGAGCUUUGCAGUCACGAGGAGGAGCUCGAUACUGAUAGUGACAAAUCUAAUUGAAAAUGAUUCUGGGGUCUAUUACGGUGCCACCUGGGACAGGCACAGUGGUUCAGACCUGCCCUACCACACUGAAAUCUGCCUUGUGGCUGCUUAG